CCCUCAAGCCAAGCAGGCUCCUCUUUCCUCUGCAGGGCACACACACCCUUAAAGCUGCCAGUUGACCCUGAACUGAGCAAUCACUCAGAAGACCAGACAUCAACUCAGACUUGUUCUCUCAGUCUGUGGCCUGGGAUCUACUUCUGAAAGUGGCAUUAAAUGAGCUCUCAGAGGCCUCCCAGCAGUGACCCAGAAUGAGAGGAAGGAGCUGGGGCCAUACCAGAGUCAGAGCUGGACCGGGAGCACGGCAGGGCCCAGCCAUCCACAGCCUCCAAUUUCAGUACUCUCUAACAACCUGAGAGCCUGAGCCUUCGGAUCUUCUUGAUUCCUACUUUGAUAAAGAGAGGGAUGGGGUUGGAAGGACCUGGCAUAGAGAUUGGACCAGUCCGGCAUUGACAGAGCCAGGACCUGGGGUCCGGAACUGAGCUCAGCUCCAGGCUCAUCUGAAGUCACCCUGACAGCCUGAGGAUGGAGACCUUAUUUCCAUUAACAGGCAUGGCGGUUGGCAGGGACUGGCCCCAGCUGAGCACGGUUUUCCAAGUACACAGCUGGGAAUUAAGUCUUCUCUGCCGCCCUCCCCUGUAGUCUUGCCUGGAUCCCCCCAGUCAUCUACUCCCAGUACCAAAAACUCCUGUAUUCUUGAAAAUCCGUAGUACUGAGAGGUGACAGCUUGCUGGCAGUCCUCAACAGCCCUCGCUCGCUCUCGGCGCCUCCUCUGCCUGGGCUCCCACUUUGGCGGCACUUGAGGAGCCCUU
rnacentral:lncRNA from 10 species